UGUACGUACAAGCAGUGGGAGCACGCUUAGGCGUGUGACUGCGUACCUUUUGUAUAAUGGGUCAGCGACUUAUAUUCUGUAGCAAGGUUAACCGAAUAGGGGAGCCGAAGGGAAACCGAGUCUUAACUGGGCGUUAAGUUGCAGGGUAUAGACCCGAAACCCGGUGAUCUAGCCAUGGGCAGGUUGAAGGUUGGGUAACACUAACUGGAGGACCGAACCGACUAAUGUUGAAAAAUUAGCGGAUGACUUGUGGCUGGGGGUGAAAGGCCAAUCAAACCGGGAGAUAGCUGGUUCUCCCCGAAAGCUAUUUAGGUAGCGCCUCGUGAAUUCAUCUCCGGGGGUAGAGCACUGUUUCGGCAAGGGGGUCAUCCCGACUUACCAACCCGAUGCAAACUGCGAAUACCGGAGAAUGUUAUCACGGGAGACACACGGCGGGUGCUAACGUCCGUCGUGAAGAGGGAAACAACCCAGACCGCCAGCUAAGGUCCCAAAGUCAUGGUUAAGUGGGAAACGAUGUGGGAAGGCCCAGACAGCCAGGAUGUUGGCUUAGAAGCAGCCAUCAUUUAAAGAAAGCGUAAUAGCUCACUGGUCGAGUCGGCCUGCGCGGAAGAUGUAACGGGGCUAAACCAUGCACCGAAGCUGCGGCAGCGACGCUGAUGCGUUGUUGGGUAGGGGAGCGUUCUGUAAGCCUGCGAAGGUGUGCUGUGAGGCAUGCUGGAGGUAUCAGAAGUGCGAAUGCUGACAUAAGUAACGAUAAAGCGGGUGAAAAGCCCGCUCGCCGGAAGACCAAGGGUUCCUGUCCAACGUUAAUCGGGGCAGGGUGAGUCGACCCCUAAGGCGAGGCCGAAAGGCGUAGUCGAUGGGAAACAGGUUAAUAUUCCUGUACUUGGUGUUACUGCGAAGGGGGGACGGAGAAGGCUAUGUUGGCCGGGCGACGGUUGUCCCGGUUUAAGCGUGUAGGCUGGUUUUCCAGGCAAAUCCGGAAAAUCAAGGCUGAGGCGUGAUGACGAGGCACUACGGUGCUGAAGCAACAAAUGCCCUGCUUCCAGGAAAAGCCUCUAAGCAUCAGGUAACAUCAAAUCGUACCCCAAACCGACACAGGUGGUCAGGUAGAGAAUACCAAGGCGCUUGAGAGAACUCGGGUGAAGGAACUAGGCAAAAUGGUGCCGUAACUUCGGGAGAAGGCACGCUGAUAUGUAGGUGAAGCGACUUGCUCGUGGAGCUGAAAUCAGUCGAAGAUACCAGCUGGCUGCAACUGUUUAUUAAAAACACAGCACUGUGCAAACACGAAAGUGGACGUAUACGGUGUGACGCCUGCCCGGUGCCGGAAGGUUAAUUGAUGGGGUUAGCGCAAGCGAAGCUCUUGAUCGAAGCCCCGGUAAACGGCGGCCGUAACUAUAACGGUCCUAAGGUAGCGAAAUUCCUUGUCGGGUAAGUUCCGACCUGCACGAAUGGCGUAAUGAUGGCCAGGCUGUCUCCACCCGAGACUCAGUGAAAUUGAACUCGCUGUGAAGAUGCAGUGUACCCGCGGCAAGACGGAAAGACCCCGUGAACCUUUACUAUAGCUUGACACUGAACAUUGAGCCUUGAUGUGUAGGAUAGGUGGGAGGCUUUGAAGUGUGGACGCCAGUCUGCAUGGAGCCGACCUUGAAAUACCACCCUUUAAUGUUUGAUGUUCUAACGUGGACCCGUAAUCCGGGUUGCGGACAGUGUCUGGUGGGUAGUUUGACUGGGGCGGUCUCCUCCUAAAGAGUAACGGAGGAGCACGAAGGUUGGCUAAUCCUGGUCGGACAUCAGGAGGUUAGUGCAAUGGCAUAAGCCAGCUUGACUGCGAGCGUGACGGCGCGAGCAGGUGCGAAAGCAGGUCAUAGUGAUCCGGUGGUUCUGAAUGGAAGGGCCAUCGCUCAACGGAUAAAAGGUACUCCGGGGAUAACAGGCUGAUACCGCCCAAGAGUUCAUAUCGACGGCGGUGUUUGGCACCUCGAUGUCGGCUCAUCACAUCCUGGGGCUGAAGUAGGUCCCAAGGGUAUGGCUGUUCGCCAUUUAAAGUGGUACGCGAGCUGGGUUUAGAACGUCGUGAGACAGUUCGGUCCCUAUCUGCCGUGGGCGCUGGAGAACUGAGGGGGGCUGCUCCUAGUACGAGAGGACCGGAGUGGACGCAUCACUGGUGUUCGGGUUGUCAUGCCAAUGGCACUGCCCGGUAGCUAAAUGCGGAAGAGAUAAGUGCUGAAAGCAUCUAAGCACGAAACUUGCCCCGAGAUGAGUUCUCCCUGACUCCUUGAGAGUCCUGAAGGAACGUUGAAGACGACGACGUUGAUAGGCCGGGUGUGUAAGCGCAGCGAUGCGUUGAGCUAACCGGUACUAAUGAACCGUGAGGCUUAACCUU
rnacentral:rRNA from 1 species